GAUGAACGCUGGCGGCGUGCCUAAUACAUGCAAGUCGAGCGAACGGACGAGGAGCUUGCGUCUCUGAUGUUAGCGGCGGACGGGUGAUGAACACGUGGAUAACCUACCUAUAAGACUGGGAUAACUUCGGGAAACCGGAUCUAAUACCGGAUAAUAGUUUGAACCGCAUUGUUCAAAGGUGAAAGACGGUCUGGCUGUCACGUAUAGAUGGAUGCGCGCUGCAUUAGCUAGUUGGUAAGGUAAGGGCUUACCAAGGCAACGAUGGAUAGCCGACAUGAGAGGGUGAUCGGCCACACUGGCACUGAGACACGGUCGAGACUCCUGCGCGAGGCCGCAGUAGGGAAUCUUACGGAAUGGGCGAAAGCCUGACGGAGCACCACCGGGUGAGUGCUGAAGGUGUUCGGAUCGUAAAGCUAUGUUAGUAGGGAAGAACAUAUGUGUAAGUAACUGUGAACAUCUUGACGGUACCUAAUCAGAAAGCCACGGCUAACUCCGUG
rnacentral:rRNA from 1 species